ACGAAGGGUGCAAGCGUUACUCGGAAUUACUGGGCGUAAAGCGCACGUAGGCGGGUUUGUAAGUAGAGGGUGAAAUCCCAGGGCUCAACCCUGGAACUGCCUUCUAAACUGCAAGCCUGGAGGUCAGGAGAGGCGAGUGGAAUACCGAGUGUAGAGGUGAAAUUCGUAGAUAUUCGGUGGAACACCAGUGGCGAAGGCGACUCGCUGGACUGAUACUGACGCUGAGGUGCGAAAGCGUGGGGAGCAAACAGGA
rnacentral:rRNA from 1 species